UUCUUCUGGAAACCUUCUGGAUCUUGCUGCUUGUGGUCAAGGGAAGCGGUUGGGCUGCCCUGCCAGAUGUUCAGCUGGUUUGCAACACCCUGAUAGGCUGCUUCUGUGCUGCAGUGAAGAAGCACUCCUCCAGCAAAGGUCCCAGCCCUCCUGCCCACAUCCCACCCUACUGCAGUGGCAUGCCAGUGAGAAGGUCCCCAGUGAAGCGUUAUCACCAAGAAGCAACUGGUACCCCAGGGCACCCACCAUUUUGCUGAGUCGGCUGGCCCAGAUAUGAAAGAAAAACAGAGAUGGGACCUAUCAACCCAGCAACUGCCACCCCAGCAUGUGCUGGCGGUGAGAAGACGUGGUGGCAGGGAUGCACAAACAGCCUCUCCUCCAUCUGACAGGAUGUUUUCAGCUGCAAGGUGAGGAUGGGGAAGAAAAGCUCCUGCUGCUGCUUUGGUAUUGUCUGAAGUGGCAGAGAAGGAGAUGACAAGGACACCCUGAAGUCCAUUGAAGUGAAGAUUUCCAGGCCUAUAGCAGUUUGCACAGGGCUUAUUGGAAAUUAGGCCAAGCUGUCGGUCUCUUGGAUGAGGGAUGAAGCAGCAUGUUUGGAGGCAGCAAAGCUGACAGUGCAGCACGUGGCCAGAGGAGCUGGUGAGGCUUAAGGACACUCUUACUGCUUCUGCUGGGCUUUUCUCCUGCUCUCCUUUGGUCUCAGACUUGGGGACUCUUUUCAGAGAUGUCUUUCCCUGGUGUGGUGGCACAGGAUGAUGUGAUAAGGAGAUGGUGGCCUGGUUCUGCUGGGCAGGAGAUGCCCCUGGGUGUGCUAAGCCCCUUCUGUCUCUCUGUGCUGGGAGCAAUGUUUGUUGCUGUCCUUCCCCUUCCCCUUCCCUUUUCCUUUCGCUUUCCCCUUUUCCUUUCGCUUUCCCCCUUUCCUUUCGCUUUCCCCCUUCGCUUUCCCCCUUCGCUUUCCCCCUUCGCUUUCCCCCUUCGCUUUCCCCCUUCGCUUUCCCCCUUCGCUUUCCCCCCUCUCACUUUCCUUUCCCUUCCCUUUCUUUUCCUUUCCUUCUUCCCUUCCCUUCUUUCCUUUCCUUCCCCCUUGCCUUUCCUCUUUCCCUUCCUUUCCCUUCCUUUCUUUCCUUUCUUUCCUUUCUUUCCUUUCUUUCCUUUCUUUCCUUUCUUUCCUUUCUUUCUUUCCUUUCUUUCAUUUUAUUUCUUUUAUUUUCUUUUUUAUUUAUUUUUUCUCCGCUCCCACACCCCCCACCUUCUUCCCAGAAAUUCAUCUUUUUUUCCCCCAAAGCAGGCUCUUUCCUUAACAGCAAGUGCCCAGCAGUCAAGUGCUCACUUGCUCUCCGUUCUGCACAAAACUUUCCGCUUGUGCUUUCCAUCCUUAGAGCAAGGGAAGCGCCUGCGGGAAACGUCUGCCCUCCUGUGUUCAAAGUCCCUUCCAAAGAAGAGCCAAGGAUGCACUGAUCUCACGGAGUAAAUAUUUUCCAUGACAUCUCCUUCCGACAUCUCCUGUCAGGCUCUGGGUUUGCAGCCAGCCUGCCUGAUGUGGGGAACAGGGCUGGAUUCUGCCCUCUCCUUCCUUCCCUACACGUCCCCAGGCAACGUCACUGCAAAUUAACAGCCUGAAGGUUUUAAUAACCCCUCUGGGCCCCGCUCCAGGGACUCUGCUGGCAAACGAGGUGGCUUGUGGGCCAGUGCUGCUCCCCAUAGAUGCUGAAUCCUGCCGGCAUUGCUUGGAUGGUUUUUCCAGCACCUCUAAACCACGGCUGUGGUUCCGAGCUGCUGCCGAGCCAGCCGGGAUGAUGGAACCAGCAGCCUCAGGGCAGGUGUGAAGCAUCCGUGGGCCAGAGGUGGGAUGCAGGGAGGUUUUGGUUUUUUUGUGUGAACUGGGAGCAACUUGUCACCAAGCAAAGGUAUCCUUGCUGCUCACCCAGCUGAAUGGAAGGGGGUGGACAAUCCAACAGAUAUUUUCCACCUCAAGCCUCUUACUGCUCUUGUUGUUCCCCCAUAGGCUUAUUUCUCUGUGUUUUUCUCAAGGGGACAGUCACAUCUGGCACCGAUCAGCAGCUGGAUUUACAGUGCAGAUACUGCUGAGAUCAGGGCUUGUCAAGGUCUAUUUUAUUUGCAACCAUAAAAAUUCAGUGGUUUUCCCCCACUAUUUGUUCACUAAGAGGAGAUGCUGUGGUCGUUCUCCUGCCAAGGCUUUUCAAACCAUGUGCAUAGUCUCUGGAGAGGAGCAAGGGCAUUUCAUAUAUGAUUGGAUCCCUUAGGAUUAGGUCCCUACCACCCCCCUCUUGUGGAACAUGGAGAAAACACAAUAUACUGCCAGAACUCAUGCCAAGCAUGUGGCACGCACCAGGCGGUGUCAAAAAACGCUCACGUCUGCCUCACAGGCAGCCCUGUGCCUUCUGCAUUGACUGUGUAGAGAAAAAUUACCCCAGCAAUUGGCUGUGGGCAUUUCAGAGCCCUUUAUUUCUAGGGUCAUAUCUUACCUACAGGUAAAAGUACCUCUGCAGGUGUGGCAAGAACAGCUGUGCCCUUGCUCUUGGUCCCUCCUCUACAGUUUGUGUAACAGAUACCAGUGUCUCCCAGUUCUUCUGCAUGAGAAAAGUGACAUUCUUAUUUAUAGAGUUACUAGUGCUGGAGAGAAAAUUAAUACUAAAUGUCUAUUAACAUGUGCAUCAAAUGCGCAGGCUGCUUUCAAUGAGCUGGAAAAGAGGGUGAGCUCAUUUGCCUGUGCAUUGAAAAUGCACAUGUUGCUGGCACAUUUUUGCACCUAUUUUUGUCUGCUCUUUGCAGGAGAUGUAUGCUGGCUCUUAAGCAAGGGCCACGCUCCUUCUUGCAAAUCCCGGGGUGGAUCUCUGCUCCUGGGAAGACGGGCAGGCUGUUAUGGUGCAUCCCACCCGAAGGCGACAGCUCAGUGUCGAGGGAAAUGGGGCUUGCUGGACAUGGCAGCCUUUUGGGGGAUGGUGUUGCAUCAUAUUUCAGAGGCUGACACUCAUCUGGAUGUAUGAAUUUUGGCUUUCCUGGAGGCCUGGGUCUUCCCUGGGGCUGCUGCUCUGUCUCCUCACAUUUCUGGAGAGGGGAAGCUGUGGCCAACCUCACCGCAAACACUUGUUAUUGCUUUUUUUUUCCUUCUUUUUUUUUUUUGUUUUUUGUGUGUUCAGUUUGAACAAUAAAACAUCUGUCCGUGAGCCCAGCAGCUGGACCAAAACGAAAUGACGUUAGCAUGAAUUAUCCUCUGGGAUGGGGCGGCUGACAGGAGAAUGGUGCAGAUUUUCUUAACACUGCAUAACAAAUGAGAACAACAGCGUGGUUAGGUGCCUCGUGUUCCCUGAGAGGCUCCAAACAACCCGCCUGCUCGAGCAGUUUGGGCUGUUGUACAUCUCUGCUCCAGGUACCAAACAGCAGCCGUGGGGAGAGUGCGGGAUAUGCAAUAAAAUAAACCCCAUUUUUGGUGGAAGCACUUAUGGAUACUGCAGCAGAGAAGAUUUUUUUCCUGAAUGCACCAACUCAAUACAAAUACCCUGAUAGAAAAUGAAAGCACUUUGUUUUUGGGGCCAGCACGGAGUGUCCCAGCUGGGACAUCAUCUCUGGUGGGUGCAGGCAGUGGGAUGGGAUGAUGCAGAAUCACAUUCCCUGGGUACAGAAAGGGGCUAUUAACGGGGAGAAAGGAGAGGGAGCGUUGGAGCACAAUGGCUCUGAGUUGUUGGCAGCCGUGACCUGCAGUCCCUGGCAGCACCUCAAAGCAGCUGCGAGGUGCCAGUCGGUGGUGAUGCUUCGGCGCGUGAUGCGGGUGCCUGACCCUGGUGUCCCCAAAGCCAUCUGCUCUGCUAGCCGUGCUGGGGUCAAUUUUACCUCUUACAGAACUGCAUGCACAAAAAAUAUCCUCUCAUCCCAUCCCGAACAAGCUCACGAGAAGGUUAUUUCCCCACAUCCCGGUAGUGCAGAGAAAAACUGUGACUGUGGGAAAACACAUGGAGAAUUAAUACAGAGCAUCAUUUUUAUAAGUUACUUUAUAUUUAGUUGGUGCGUAAGUAAUUGCAGUUUCCGACCGUGAAUUUUAAAUCAUGAUAACUAGGCUCAAGCACAUCUCAUUCAUCACAACAGAAACUGUUACAGUCAACACAUUUUCGCCAAUAAGAACUAAGUUGGUUCAUACCUGUAGUGUAAAAAUCCAUGCUUCAGGAUUCGAUGAACUCUUGGAAAGCAUUUUCUGCAUCCUGCUGGUUUUGGGAGAGUUUUCCCUGCAGAAAAAAAGCUGUUGAGAUGCUUGAAGAAGUGGUAGUCAGUUGGGAAGAAGUCAGGUGAAUGAAGCAGAUGAGGCAAAACUCCGUAGCCCAAUUUGUUCCGCUUUUGAAGCGUUGGUUGUGUGACCUGAUUGGGUGUUGUCAUGGAGAAGAAUUGGGCCCUUUCUGUUGACUGAUGCUGGGUGCAGGUGUUGCAGGUUUCGGUGCAUCUCAUCAAUUUGCUGAGCAUCUUUCUCAGGUGUAGCGGUUUCACUGGGAUUCAGAAAGCUGCAGUGGAUCAGACUGGCAGCAGAUCAAUAAACUGGGACCUUUUUUGGUGCAAGUUUGGCUUUGGGAAGCGCUUUGGAGGUUCUUCUCAGUCAAACCACUUUGCGGGUGGUUGCCGGUUGUCAUAUAAAAUGCACUUUUUGUCACGUCACAAUCCGAUCGAGAAAUGGUUUGUUGUUGUUGCGUAGAAUAAGACAACACUUGAAAAUGAUGUUUUUUUUUUUAAUUCAGUCACCUCAUGAGGCACCCACUUCUUGAGCUUUUUCACCUGUCCAAUUUGCUUCAAAUGCCGAACAACCAUAGAAUGGUUGAUGUUGAGUUCCUUGGCAACUUCUUGAGUAGUUGUAAGAGGAUCAGCUUCGAUGAUUGCUCUCAUUUAGUCAUUGUCACCUUCCGAUGGCCACCACUGCACUCCUCAUCUUCAAGGCUCUCGGCUCCUUUAUGAAACGUCUUGACCCACCACUGCACUUUACAUUCAGUAGCAGUUCCUGGGCCAACCGUAUUGUUGAUGUUGUGAGUUGUCUCCGCUGCUUUACGACCCAUUCUGAACUCCAAUAGCUCCAAGUUUGAACUCCAAUCACUCGAAUUUGCUUUUGUCUAACAUAAUUUCCAUAGUCUAAAAGAAACAUAAAAUAAACAGCAAGUAAUAAGUCAGUAGUAAAAAAAAAAAAAAAAAAAAAGAGAAAAGAGCAUUAAAAUGAUCUAUUAUUAAAAUGAUCUAUUAUUAAAAUGAUCUAUUAUUAAAAUUAUGUAUAACAUUACCACAUUUACUUAAGAAUGUAUUCCAGUAUCAAACAGCCAACUUCAACAAUGCAAAAACCACAAAUUCCUUUUGCAGCAACCUUAUAUCUGUGCAGCCAGCUGCCUGAAUAACUUAAUGCAAGCUUUGGGAAAUAACUUGGGCUGCUGCAAUUUCGAAGCCUCAAAAAUAGCUUUCCUGCUCCCCGGGGAGCUGUGAAUUUGUAGGCCUGACAGCUUCCAGCACCCCAUGGGUGAGGAGAAGAUGCUCCUUGCAGAGGAGCUCCCCAUGGGGCAGGGAUGGGGGAAACAGUGCUGGUGUAUCACCAAUCCAAGUGAUGCUUGUCAUGAUUCUUGGAAGUGAGUGUUUGGGGUGAGCAGCAAGGGAGAAAAAGCCUAUUUAAGAAUAACAACUUGUUCCAAAAACCCAACAGUAUCAAGCAACCAUUUCAUCUGGCUUCUUCCUUUAAUGUCACGGGUACCACCAUUGGACAAUGUGCCCAUGAUGGGCAUGUCCUGGUCUCUGCUAUACAUCCGCACUCAAACACUGUGGCUCUUGUGGAAGCAUCACAUAUCACUGCUGAGAAAACCCCACUGCUUGCCUGAGCCGUUUUACUCUAAUCCCUUAUUGCCUUUGGCGUCCGGCCUUGGUUAAAUCAACAAGUCACCCUGGGCCAAAACCAGCCCAGGUGUCACGUCCGAUGUGCAUCGCCUCUCUGCUCCGAGUCUGGGCUCUGCAGGCGCUCCUGCCCUGGCCUCUCCUACCAGAAAAUGGAAUCCAGAUGGGAAAAAUCCCCAAAACUUCACUCAGAGGGGACUUGGCAGAAUUAGAAGGAAGUUUUAGCUUAAAAAAAGAAAAAAAAAAUAUAAUUUUGUCCCAAAGCAACUGGAACUUACCCCAGUACUUCUAUUUUUUUUGUAAUUUCAUGUACUGUACUUCACUCUGUUUUCUCAAGCCUUACAAAAGUGAGUGUGUCGUCAUUCUGUUUGCCUGUCUCUUCCCUCAGUAACAUGCUGAAUUAGCUGAUUUUGGGUAAGUCUGGCAAGGACAUUAAUUCCUGGCCAAUAUUCAGGUUUUUCUGGCAGCAAGGGGAGUGAUCCGGCAUGCCCCGUGCAGGACAGGGACAGAUGAUGGCCUUAAUAAGAAAAGCUUUUCCCCACUCCAAGGCUGGAUUAGGGAGGAGUUUGUCAACCAGACACAAAGCUUGUUAAUGCCUCCGUUUCAGGGUGAGAAGGGCUGUGCUGAGAGCCCCAGGGGUACCUGCGGGAUGGGGCUGCCACAACUCCAGGUAUUUCUUACCCUCCCAGCUUGGAGACUGCAGAACCUUCUGGUGCAUGGGGAUCUGGAGGGAUGGAGAUGAGAUAAAGCUCCCUGCAUCCUGCCUGAUUCGCUGGUGGCCUGCUUUUCCCAGCUUGCUUCAUAAUAUUAAAUAAAGGGUGUUUCAAAAAGAUGCCCCCAAUUUGAACUCACUAUACCUCUUUUUCUUGUCAGGAUAUGUCAAAGACUGUGGUUUUGUGCCACCAUUAGCGACUAAUCUGGUUUACUACAACUUGAUAAUUCAUUAAACCAUUUGUAAAUUUUUGUAUAACUGUAAUACACUGCCAUUGUGAAAUACGCUGCUUUGAAAAUGGGUCCACCUCUUUGAAACACCCUGUAAUAGGACGCAGAUAACUAAAUAUCUCUUGAGGAGCUGGACCUUCAUCUUUACAUACAGCACUGAUGCUCUGACUCCCUGUAAGCCAUCUCAUGUUUCUUGUGCAUCACCCUCCCCUAGCCAUGGCAAAAAGAUCCCUGAAGAGCAUGGAACAGUGGGGAACAAGGUGUUGUGAUCACCAGGCAAGGAGCCAGCAGGACAAGGGUGGGAUUUUUUACAGCCAUCAAUGGAUCAUCACCCAGAGGAGGCUUUGGAGAGCGAGAUGGGACAGAAGAUGCUGAGCAAGGUGCAGGAGGAGCACGAGGCACGUGCGAUGCAGCUGUCCGCCUAGGAAAAAGGACGUGAGGGAGGCGAAGAAAAGGCAAAAGCACAACCCUCCACCUCUGGCUUGUUUGCGCAGCUCAAAGUGUUCUAAGCUUUAUCAGUGUUUGCACUUUUGCCACUGUUUGUGCUAGUUGCACUUUAAAGGCAAUAAAGUCAAGCUUUGUUUGCUUACAA